UACGGGGGGAGCAAGCGUUGUUCGGAUUUACUGGGCGUAAAGGGCGCGUAGGCGGCCUGUGCAAGUCAGUUGUGAAAUCUCCGAGCUUAACUCGGAACGGUCAGCUGAUACUGCUCGGCUAGAGUGCGGAAGGGGCAACUGGAAUUCUUGGUGUAGCGGUGAAAUGCGUAGAUAUCAAGAGGAACACCUGCGGCGAAGGCGGGUUGCUGGGCCGACACUGACGCUGAAGCGCGAAAGCUAGGGGAGCGAACGGG
rnacentral:rRNA from 1 species